rnacentral:lncRNA from 10 species
GUCACUACCAGUCUCUGCGUCUUGGUGGUAGUGGUCCCCCGGGCCCAGCUGUCUUUUCUUCUCUUUGUCUUGUGUCUUUAUUUCUAUGAUCUCUCCUCUCCGCACACAGGGAGAAAGACCCACAGACCGUGUACGGCUAGUCUCUACAGUUUGCUAUUGUGCAUUGUGGAGAGGACUAGAGAGGGCAAGAGUCUGCCAUCUUAUCCAGGUCAGAAAUGGAGGAGUUAAGUUUUGGAAAUAAUUUUUAGUGUAAUACUUUUAUGAUCUGAAGGAGAAAGCAAAUAUUUUGCUUGGUCUGUAAGGCUAAUUACUUCUGGAUAAUGAAGUAAUGGUAAGCCUGGUAAAUUCCAUUGGUAUUAGUCAUUACCUGCUUUCUUUUACUCUGAGGUGAGUUCCAUUGCCAGGCGCAAUGUUGUUUGAGAUACCCUGAUUGGACAUCGUGGAUUUGCAGGAACAAGCAUGAUGUCAGGAAAAGAAAACUUCAGCUAGAAACAAUUUUUAUUCCAUUGAGGACUAGUUGCUCUCCUGCACAUGAUGACAGGAGUAAAAUAUAAUUGACUUGUCAGAAGGUAUUCAGUUGGUCCCAGAAGGUAUAGUAUCAUCUCAGGAGCUCAAGGAUAAACACUUCUGUGAUGAAGGUCUUCAUACAUAAAUCUUAUGCUAUGCUUUAACUCCCUUUGUUAGAGAGUCCGUAAGAACUUUGGAGACAGUCUGCCUACAUUCAGAUUCUGGUGUGUAGUGUUGUGCAGGCUGUAUAUCAGCCGAGGCAAAUGGUACCUCCUGAUACAGUGCAAAGCAUAACCUGCACAGCCAUACAUGGCAGCCCUGAAUCUUGGCUCUGCCAUAUACUUACUGUAUGAACUUUUACAAGUCCUUUUACAGUUCUGCUGCCUCAGUUUCUGCAUCAAUAAAGUAGAGAAAAUAAUACCUUAUAGGCCCAGCAUAUAGCAAUUGGUAUGUAUGUUGUUGUUAUUAUUGUCAAUGAGUAUGACUUUCGUUGCAAACUAUCAAGUAAUCCUAUAAACUCUGGCUGAUGUCAUGGUUUAGAUUUAAGGCUCUUCAAGAACUACAGAACAAAGUAGAUAUACUCUUGGUGCCAUGUUGAGGAGGGUUGAAAUACUAAGCCACAUUUUUCAGAAAGGAGAUGAAGCACACAUAUGGAAAGUCAGAUGGCCCUACAGGGGAAUGGAAGCCCCAGAGGACAGGUGUGAUUACGGGGUUAUGAUUUCAAAAGAGGAAAAAACAGUGAAGGAGGCAAGUGGAGAGGAGUUUGCUGGAUGAGAAGGCUUCCCUGGGGAGAAGGGUAUUGGGGGAGAUGAUUGCAAGCUCUCUUAGUAGCAGGUGGAGCAGUAGUCUGGUUCCUACCGGAGGCAGAUGUUUAGGCACCAUCUGUCACAGUUAAUUCUGAGUCUGGGUGUUUCGCAUACCUUUGGCUUCAUGGGAUGAGUCACAUGCUUGCAUCUGUUCUCCCUCUCUGAACAUUUUCCUCCUGAAUGAUGAUCACCCUAUUAACCAACACCAAAAAUUUUCAAAGGAAUGCUUUCAGAAAGAUGCAAAACGCAGAGAAUGUGUGGCCAAACUCAUCUGGUUUCAGAAGAUCUCUUGUCCUCAGAUAUGUCUACUCUCAUUAAAACAAAGUAUGAAGAUUUCCAUGGCUGGGGACACAGGCAGUGUCUUUGAUGAGGUCCUCUCAAGAUAGCUUAAGCGUGGACUAAACUUCAUAGGGUCCACAUGAAAAAUUGGCUUCAUUGAUCCACUAAAUUCUCAAGCCUGGAUUUGUCUGCUGGAAAAUGAGAGACACGUGGCCAGCUGUGCAGUCACCCCAGCCUAUAGCUAGCCAAACUCCAGAAGGAGAGAAGGUCGCUGACCUGCCUCUGACUGUGGACACAAAAGGGAGCCAUGACAAGACUAGACGAAUCACCCAACAAGCUUGGCCUAAGUUGCUGACCUGCUGAAUUAUGAUAUAAAUAAAUGGUUGUUAUUUUAAGCCACUACGUUUGGGGUGGUUUGUUUCAUAGAAAUAAUUCACUGAUACAAGGAAGAUAACUUUCCUUUUAAUUGACAUGGCUGGUUGGUGAGAUAGUUCCUUUCACUUACGUUGCAUUGCUGAAAGCUAGUUAUCAGGCCUCCCUUACAUGGAAGAGGAGACUAUAAAAUGUAGUCCAGCAGUGUAACCAGAAGAGGCAGAGGACAUGGAUAUCGGUGGAUCCCCGUCAUAAGCACUUACUCAUUUUUCUGGGGCAAUGGACACACUUUCUGUUGACUUCUUACAAAUCUUGGAGUCUCAGCUGAAGCUUCUGUACAAAGUCAGAAUUAUUAUGUAAAAUCUUGUUGUGCCUUGUGAUAGAGAAGAUCACUAUCUUAUGUUCUGAUGACUCUCCAAAGAGGGUAGGAUUCUGUUUAAGUAGUCUCAGGGCCUGGUUAUCUUUAUUUCAAGGAGAGAAAGGAGGAAGCUUAGUGUAGGCCGACAGGUCUGAGCCAUAACCUUCAACUGCAUUUUUCAAGCCCCUCUAGUUUCUUGUGUAUAUUUCCUGUGGUGAGGAACCCCACUGGGAAGAGAGGUCAUGGCAGGAUUUAUGCAUUCUUGUGUUGUUGUGUUGUGAUUUCUGUCAUCACAGCAGAAUCAAUAUCUUUGUUUAUUGUUCUUAGGAGUCAGUAUCCAGUCUAUUGUCUAUAGUUCUAGUAGCAUGAUUUAUGAUUCAUGAGUUUAAAUGAUGUCUCAACACUGUAACACCACACACAGACACUGUAGAUUAUGUUAGAGGGAACACAAUGCGUCAGACAGACCCAGGUCUCAAUCCCUUCUUUUCUACUUACUAACUUUGUGACCUUGGGUAAAUUCUUUAAAUUCAGGUGCCUGUUUCCCUUUAGCAAAAUGUAGACAAUCAUAGCAAACAUCCCUGUUUCUUGUAAGCAUUACAUGAAAGAAAGAAUGUGAAAGUACUUGGCACUCGUAGAUGCUCUGCAAAUGCUAACUGAAUCUAAAUUAGAGGAGAAGCAAGCUAGUGUUUUAAAACAUACUUUAAUAAGUAGAAAUAGAUCACAAUGUUGAGUUAAUCAUAGCACAUUGUAAUCAUACAUCCAUGUAAGGCCCCUCUCUUGUGUGAAUCCAUUAAUUUUUCCUUUAUCCCUGUUUCACUGUCUCAUUUAUCUUCUUCCAUAGGUAUCUGUUACAUACACUUUAUAUAUAAUCAAAUUUAUUUAUCUUUGAAAAAUAGUUUGUUGUAUGUAAAGUUGGAUUGUUUGUAACUCACAAGAUAAAUUCUUGAGGGAACAGGUACCCCAUUCGUCAUGAUGUGCCUAUUUCACAUUGCAUGCCUGUAUCAAAACAUCUCAUGUACCCCCUAAAUAUAUAUAACUACUAUGUACCCACAAAAUUUUAAACAAGUUUAUGCAAAUGGCAUUAUACUAUAAAUUUCUGUCUUUUUAAAAACUUUUCACCCAGCAUGUUUUAAAUGAUUGUCCAUGGUGCUGAAUGCUGUCUCAUUCAUGACUUUUGAGGCUAAAUAAUGUUGCGUUACAUUUUCUACCUUUAACUUACCCAUUCCCCAAUUGUUGGAUACCUACGUUCUCUCCAAUACCAAAAAUAUGCAUUAAAACAUCUUCUAAAAUGCAUUUUUACCAACCUGCUGGAAAAUUUCUCUAGGAUAUAUGCCCAAGAGAGGGACUUAUGGAUCACAGAUGUGUGCAUACUUAUUUUAUUGAGGACACAACCAGACGGCUUUCUAGGAGGGCCGUACCAGUUUAUACAACUGUCAGUAGUGCAUGAGGAGCCGGUUUUCUGACAUCUUCACCAUCUUUCUAAUUUUUGUAUUAUAAUGGAUAUACAAUGGUAUCUCACUGUCAUUUUAGUUUUUAUUUAUCUAUAUACUUGUGUGUGUAAGAGUCUCCUUAUAUGUAUUUUGGCCAUUCAGGAAUCCCUUCUCUGCAUCAUCUCCUCAUGUCCUAGGGAAUCAGUUUUCUCAAUGCUAUAUGCCAACCAAAUCAUCCCUUCCCUAUUGCUUUAAAGAGUCACAUCUACUGUGAAUCAAAGUCACACGCAAACAAAUCUAUUUCUGAGGUCUCUAUUCUGUUCCGAUUUGUUCUAUUUAUCUCUAUCCAUGUUAGUCCAUACUGUUUAUAUAACAAUGGCCUUUCCUACAUCUUAAUAUCAUAAAGAAUAAUGUGCUCUCCCCACCUCAUCUUUCCUCUUUUAUUUCAAAACUGACUUAGCUCUUCAUGAAUUCUAUUCUUCCUUUGUAUCCUCAGUGCCAAUUUAUUAGCUUGUUGUCCCAACGCAGUUUAUUGAAAGAGCUAGCUUUUAAUAACUAAUGUGGUGUUAAUCACUCAUCUACAUUUCUAAGAUAUAGUAUGUAGUGUUCUUAGUUUUGCUAAUUUUUUUCUAGUCAUCAUUUUCUUUUCCUCUUUAACCAAAGAGUUAUUUUAGAGAGUGACUUUUAACAACUCAAAGUGACUCUAUUUUUAGGGUUAAUAUGUUCUUAUUAGUCUCUAGUUUUACUGCACUUUGCUUAGAGAUGUGGUCUGCAUAAUAUAUACUUUUUAGAAUUAUAGAUUGUCUUUGUGGUCUAAUAUGAUAGAUUUAUGUGAAUGAGCCAUGGGCACUGGAAAUCUAUUCUCCAUAGAGUUAAAGUUUGGUAAUUAUUAGACCAACCUUUAUUAUUUAACUCAAAGCCUUUUAUCUAGUAUUAGUAAACCAUAGGGGGCCACAAAGAAGUUCAUGAAUGGGCUUCAAGGUAUCCAUAAAUUCCCUGACAUGCAGGCAAUAUGCACAUGCUUCUGAGUGAGGAGAGAAAAUUCAUGAGAUUCCCAUAGGGGUCCAAGAGUCUAAAAAGAUGAACAACUACAGGAUUAAUUUUUGUUUUAUGUUUGUUUAUUUAUAUCUAUUUGAUCUGUCAAUAGCAUUAUAACUGUGCUUUUAACAAUUUUGUCUUGUUUUUAUACUUCUUUUCAUUCUAUAUAUUGAAGCAAUGUUGACUGAUGCAUAUUUGUGGAUAUUUAUAAUGUAACUACAUAUUUUAUUCUUUUCAUUAUAAAAUGUUAAUUAUAAAGUCAUUAAGAAUCCUUUUUAAUAUAUUUGCCCUGAAUUCAGCAGUGUCUGAUUUUAUUACUCAAUUGUAGCUUUCAGUUUAUUUGUGUUUGUCUGAUGUAUUUUUUCAACUUUAGGCUUUUUGCUUAGUUGGAUUCUUUUUGUAUCAAUUAUAUUUAAUACGGAAUUUUAAUCUUUCUAUGUUCAUUGCAAUAAAUGAUAUAUUUGCUCCUACUUCUGUCAUUUUGUUUUUAUUUGGUUGUUGAUGUUCAUGCUUUGCUUUUUUUGUCAUUUCUGUCUUUUGCUGUAUGUUAGAUGCAUUCAUUGUUUUUCUUUUCU